rnacentral:rRNA from 1 species
UACAGAGGUCUCAAGCGUUGUUCGGAUUCACUGGGCGUAAAGGGUGCGCAGGCGGCCAAGUGUGUUAGGCGUGAAAGCCCGGGGCUUAACCCCGGAAUUGCACCUAAAACUACUUGGCUAGAGCAUUGGAGAGGGUAGCGGAAUUCACGGUGUAGCAGUGAAAUGCGUAGAUAUCGUGAGGAACACCAGAGGCGAAGGCGGCUACCUGGACAAUUGCUGACGCUCAGGCACGAAAGCGUGGGGAGCAAAAGGG